AGGACACCACCAGGAGUGGAGCCUGCGGCUUAAUUUGACUCAACACGGGAAAACUCACCCGGCCCGGACACUGGAAGGAUUGACAGAUUGAGAGCUCUUUCUUGAUUCAGUGGGUGGUGGUGCAUGGCCGUUCUUAGUUGGUGGAGUGAUUUGUCUGGUUAAUUCCGAUAACGAACGAGACUCUAGCCUACUAAAUAGAUCGUCGGCUUACAAACGCCGGCGAGACUUCUUAGAGGGACAGGCGGUGAUUCAACCGCACGAAACAGAGCAAUAACAGGUCUGUGAUGCCCUUAGAUGUCCGGGGCCGCACGCGCGCUACACUGAAGUGAUCAGCGUGCUUUUUCAACCUACUCUGUCAAGAGUGGGGAACCCAAUGAACCUUCUUCGUGAUUGGGAUAGGGGAUUGUAAUUAUUCCCCUUGAACGAGGAAUUCCCAGUAAGCGCGAGUCAUAAGCUCGCGUUGAUUACGUUCCCUGCCCUUUUGUACACACCGCCCGUCGCUUACUACCGAUUGAAUGU
rnacentral:rRNA from 1 species